UACGUAGGGAGCAAGCGUUGUUCGGAAUUACUGGGCGUAAAGGGCUCGUAGGUGGCCAACUAAGUCAGACGUGAAAUCCCCAGGCUCAACUUGGGAACUGCGUCUGAUACUGGAUGGCUUGAAUUCGGGAGAGGGAUGCAGAAUUCCAGGUGUAGCGGUGAAAUGCGUAGAUAUCUGGAGGAAUACCGGUGGCGAAGGCGGCAUCCUGGACCGAGAUUGACACUGAGUGAGCGAAAGCCAGGGGAGCAAACGGG
rnacentral:rRNA from 1 species